rnacentral:rRNA from 1 species
GAUCAUGGCUCAGGACGAACGCUGGCGGCGUGCCUAACACAUGCAAGUCGAGCGGGGUCCAUCCGGUAGCAAUACUGGGGAAGACCUAGCGGCGAACGGGUGAGUAACACGUGAGAAACCUGCCCCGAAGUCUGGGAUAACCCGAGGAAACUCGAGCUAAUACCGGAUGCCUUCUUCUGAUCGCAUGGUCGGAUGAAGAAAGAUUUAUCGCUUCGGGAGGGUCUCGCGGCCUAUCAGCUAGUUGGCGGGGUAACGGGCCCACCAAGGCGUCGACGGGUAGCUGGUCUGAGAGGACGAUCAGCCACACUGGGACUGAGACACGGCCCAGACUCCUACGGGAGGCAGCAGUGGGGAAUAUUGCGCAAUGGGCGAAAGCCUGACGCAGCAACGCCGCGUGCGGGAUGAAGGCCUUCGGGUUGUAAACCGCUUUCAGUGGGGACGAAUUCAGACGGUACCCACAGAAGAAGCCCCGGCCAACUACGUG